GCGACCCAGGUCAGACGG
rnacentral:rRNA from 1 species